UUCAGAGCACUGGGCAGAAAUCAGCUUGCGUCAAACAGAACUUAUCUGCGUCGCAAGCCUGUGUUUUAAUUAUACAGUUGGAUUCCCCUGGGUAAGCAGUUCUGAAUCGGCAAUUCGUUGCUGGCACGGUUGGCCCAACUCCGCGCCCGGGGGCGCAGGGCGCUGGAGGCCGGCCGCGCCUCGGCCGGGGGCUCUCCCGCGAGGGAAAGCACCCGGCGUCCGCGCGGGGGCCUGUGGUCCAGACGCCGCGUUGGCCGUGCGCAGCCUUGCCUUCAGAGCCAAUGUUUCUCGCGAGCUUACACAUCCAAUUUGCCGACUUCCCUUAGACUACCUUGUUCUACUGGCUAGAGCUUUCAAAGCUUGGGGACCAGAUGCGGAUAUGGGUACGGCGCGACAUCGGGAAAUACGACGCCACUGGCUUUUUCGUAGACAAGCGCAGGUUUCCCUGUCCGGCGCAGAUGCCGGACUCUGCUGGGGCUGCCUCCAGGUCACCGCUCGACGCGAACUCGGUGGAGACACGCCCCAUUCAGAAGAAAAGAGAACUCUCCCGGGCCCUGCGCUCGCCGUCGCCAGUCUUGUCUGCAUGCGUUACCGCCCGCUUCCCACGUUCGCCUGCGGGAAUAUUAAGCCCGCUCUACUUUCCGCCAACCGAGUGCACCCCGCCCGCGAGCGGCCGGGGACGUCACUCCCUUCCACAAGGACGAUUCAACGCUGGCGUUAGUACCGAGUCACUCGUGUCCGAUCGCCGUUGACACGAAACCCUUCCCCACUUCAGCCUUCAACGAUCGUUCGUCGAAUCCACAGUUGAAUAUUCGCUACUACAACCAAGAUCUGCACU
rnacentral:rRNA from 1 species